UGAGGAAUAUUGGGCAAUGGACGCAAGUCUGACCCAGCCAUGCCGCGUGAGUGAAGAAGGUUUUCGGAUUGUAAAGCUCUUUCGGAUGUGACGAUGAUGACGGUAACAUCUAAAGAAGCACCGGCUAACUCCGUGCCAGCAGCCGCGGUAAUACGGGGGGUGCAAGCGUUGUCCGGAAUCAUUGGGCGUAAAGCGUUCGUAGGCGGUAUGUCAAGUCUGGUGUUAAAGCCCGAGGCUCAACCUCGGUUCGGCAUUGGAUACUGGCAAACUAGAAUGUGGUAGAGGUAAAGGGAAUUCCUGGUGUAGCGGUGAAAUGCGUAGAUAUCAGGAGGAACAUCGGUGGCGAAAGCGCUUUACUGGACCAUUAUUGACGCUGAGGAACGAAAGCCAGGGGAGCAAAUG
rnacentral:rRNA from 1 species